CACGUGCUGAGCGAAAAAAAAAACCCCUGCAAAAACAACCGGCGCCGGCAGAGGAAACCCCGGAGACCUGCAGCCGAGCACCGGGAGGCUCGGGCGCAGCGCCGCGCCGUUCCCCGCGAGCCCCGGGCUCGUUCAGGGCUCGUCAGCAGCCCCCGAGGAGCCGCGGAAGGGGGGAAGCGAAGGGAUCCUCAAAUUUCAGCCGCACGCCGCGUGCGCGGAAAGAAAACUUUCUUCUCCAUCUUCCAGCGGCCGGUCCAACGCCGUAAAGCUGCAGCAGCAUGUGGCACUGCCUGAUAGGUUGAAUUUCGGCGAGCGAGAGGGAGCAGCGAGCGACGGAAGGCACCGAGCGAGUGGCAGCCAGGAAGCGCGCCUCGUUCCGAGCCCCGCGCGUCCCGGCAGCUCCUCGCCACCCCCUCGGAAGAAAACCGCCGGCAGAAAAGGCGCCUCCGGGAGCAGCUCGGGCGCAGCUCGCCCCGCCGGGCGGCUCUCCCCGCUCCCCCCCCCAAAGUCCCCGGAGCCCCGGAGGCGGCAGCGGGGGCCGCGGCGAGGCGCGGGAGCCCGGCGGGCGUCGGAAGAGGAAGCGGGGCCCCGCUCGGCACGGGCAGAGCGCAGCCCUGCAAAGAUGGAUGCUCCCUGUCAGCUGCACGUCACGGCCGGUUCCGCGCCGCCUCGCGACCGGGAAAAGCGCCGAGGCUCCGCUAAGACCUAGCCCCCCCCGCCGCCGCCGCCACCGCGGGGCUCCCGGUGCCCGUCGGCGGGCGACAGCGGCUCCGGUGCGACCGAGAGGAGGAGGAGGAGGAGGAGGGCGACGAAUUCCAGGCCCCUACAGCGCGGGGAGCCUCGAGGGGAGCCAGGCCCAGCUCCGCCGCCGUGCCGCAGGCACGGAGCCAGCCGGGGGCACGCGGGGACCGAGCCGAGCCCCGCGGGCACCGAGCGACGCCGGCGGGAGCGGCCGGGCUGGUUAAAAGCCAGCCGUGCCCGAGAACGAGGGACGGAGCCCACCGGUGCCCGGUGCCCCGGGGGGAGCAGGACCGGGGGGAGCG
rnacentral:lncRNA from 1 species